CGUAGGGUACAGAGGUAAGAUGUUCUAUUUUUCAACCCUGUAAUAGGAUUGGCUUUAUAUUAGCCGCCCCGUUCGUUUGAACGGGGCGUUUUUUUA
rnacentral:other from 1 species